GGAUGUGAGGGUGAUCUGGCUGCGACAUCUGUCACCCCACUGAUCGCCAGGGUUGAUUCGGCUAAUCUGGCUGGCUAGGCGGGUGUCCCCUUCCUCUCUCAAUGAUCCAUGUGCGUCCCUCCCUAAGCUGCGCGCUUGGUCGAAGAGGACGACCACCCCGGAUAGAGGAGGACCGGUCCUCGGGUAUACGAGUAGCUGCGCUCCCCUGCUAGAACCUCCAAAGAAGCUCUCUUAAAAAAGUACCUCCCAAGGAUCAGAGAUUUUAGAGCAAAUCAGAGGGCCGGCCUUCUUU
rnacentral:snRNA from 1 species